rnacentral:rRNA from 1 species
GAAGGCCUUCGGGUUGUAAAGCUCUUUCAGUGAGGAAGAUAAUGACGGUACUCACAGAAGAAGUCCUGGCUAACUCCGUGCCAGCAGCCGCGGUAAUACGGAGAGGGCUAGCGUUAUUCGGAAUCAUUGGGCGUAAAGGGCGCGUAGGCGGAUUAGUAAGUUAAAAGUGAAAUCCCAGGGCUUAACCUUGGAACUGCUUUUAAAACUGCUUAUCUAGAGAUUGAAAGAGGAUAGAGGAAUUCCUAGUGUAGAGGUGA